UACGAAGGGGCUAGCGUUGCUCGGAAUCACUGGGCGUAAAGCGCACGUAGGCGGAUUGCUAAGUCAGGGUGAAUCCUGGAGCUCAACUCCAGAACUGCCCUUGAUACUGGCGGUCUCGAGUCCGGGAGAGGUGAGUGGAACUGCGAGUGUAGAGGUGAAAUUCGUAGAUAUUCGCAAGAACACCAGUGGCGAAGGCGGCUCACUGGCCCGGUACUGACGCUGAGGUGCGAA
rnacentral:rRNA from 1 species